GAAAUAUUGCAGCUUAACUGUAACAGUGCCGUUGAUACUGUAGAGCUAGGAUUAGGUUGCUGUGGGCGGAAUGUGUGGUGUAGCGGUGAAAUGCUUAGAGAUCACACAGAAUAUCGAUUGCGAAGGCAGCUCACAAAGCCUAAAUUGACGCUGAGGCACGAAAGUGUGGGGAUCGAACAGGAUUAGAUACCCUGGUAGUCCACACUGUAAACGAUGAUAACUCGCUGUCGGCGAUAUACAGUCGGUGGCCAAGCGAAAGCGAUAAGUUAUCCACCUGGGGAGUACGACCGCAAGGUUGAAACUCAAAGGAAUUGACGGGGGCCCGCACAAGCGGAGGAACAUGUGGUUUAAUUCGAUGAUACGCGAGGAACCUUACCCGGGCUCGAACGGUGCAUGAAUGUCAGAGAGAUUUGACAGUCCUUCGGGACAUGUAUCGAGGUGCUGCAUGGUUGUCGUCAGCUCGUGCCGUGGGGUGUCGGCUUAAGUGCCAUAACGAGCGCAACCCUUGUUGACAGUUACCAUCAUGUAAAGCUGGGGACUCUGUCGAGACUGCCACCGUAAGGUGUGAGGAAGGGGGGGAUGACGUCAAAUCAGCACGGCCCUUAUGUCCGGGGCGACACACGUGUUACAAUGGGAGGUACAGAGGGCAGCUAUCCAGUGAUGGAGUGCAAAUCUCAAAAACCUUUCUCAGUUCGGAUUGGAGUCUGCAACUCGACUCCAUGAAGUUGGAUUCGCUAGUAAUCGCGCAUCAGCCAUGGCGCGGUGAAUACGUUCCCGGGCCUUGUACACACCGCCCGUCAAGCCAUGGAAGCUUGGGGGUGCUUGAAGUUCGUGACCGCAAGGAGCGACCUAU
rnacentral:rRNA from 1 species